rnacentral:tRNA from 5 species
GUUAUUAUAGUUUAACGGUUAAAACAAAAAAUUCAUACUUUUUAGAUAGAAGUUCAAUUCUUCUUAAUGACU